UGGGCUUCGUUUAGGUAUGAUCGUAUUGGCGGCAGCUCACAAGCACUCGGGAUCGAGUUUUUAGGCCAGUCAGAGCGCUAUGUGGGUUGUCCCGAAAAAUUGUUGUGUUUAUAGUUAUUUCCAACAUUUUCAGACAUUUCAAACACGUUCCAAAGAGCAAAAUUCACAAAGGUAAUCCUAAACUCAAGUUAUAUAAUUUUUACCUAGGAUAAAGCUAGCUAAUUAAUUUGUGAAAUUUUCCUAGCAUGUUAAAAAUAAUUGAAAUAAUAUGUAUGGGCUUUAAGAUGAUGUGAAGGAAUUUCAGGAAUAUUUUUGGAAUUUUUGGAAGGUAUUUGAUAAUUAAUUGGACAGUAGUGAAGUAUAUGGACCUGAAUUAGAUAUGGAGAAUUGAAUCUAGAUUAGGUUUCUUGUAUGCCCCAGAUGGGCAUAGUAUUUGUUGUUGUAGGCCUGAGGCCCUGAGUGCUACAUUUUGAUAUGUUUUCUUGCAGAAGGUUAGGUCCAGUUAUAGGAAAGUUUCUGCCAAAAUUUUAGCAAGAACCUAGGAAUAAUUCUUGCUUCUUUAGUUUAAAUUAAUUAAUCAUAUUGUCAGUAAAUUGAUGGAUGUAAGUGUGUCUGUAUUGGUGUUUGGUGCCAGCCAUUUUUCUUUCUUUCA
rnacentral:misc_RNA from 1 species